rnacentral:rRNA from 1 species
CAGCAGUAGCCGCGGUAAUACGGAAGGUCCAGGCGUUAUCCGGAUUUAUUGGGUUUAAAGGGAGCGUAGGCUGGAGAUUAAGUGUGUUGUGAAAUGUAGACGCUCAACGUCUGACUUGCAGCGCAUACUGGUUUCCUUGAGUACGCACAACGUUGGCGGAAUUCGUCGUGUAGCGGUGAAAUGCUUAGAUAUGACGAAGAACUCCGAUUGCGAAGGCAGCUGACGGGAGCGCAACUGACGCUUAAGCUCGAAGGUGCGGGUAUCAAACAGGAUUAGAUACCCCUGUAGUCCCUGUCUCUUAUAA